CGCUGGCGGCGUGCCUAACACAUGCAAGUCAACUUGACUGAAGGAGCAAUCUGACAGUAGAGUGGCGCAAGGGUGCGUAACGCGUAAGUAACUUGCCCCAAGGUAAGGAAUAACGUCGAGAAAUCGGCGCUAAUACCUCAUAAUGCAGCGGAUCCGCAUGGAUAUGUUGUUAAAGGUUUACCGCCUUGGGAUAGGCUUGCGUCUGAUUAGUUAGUUGGUGUGGUAACGGCACACCAAGGCUACGAUCAGUAACUGGUCUGAGGGGAUGAUCAGUCACACUGGAACUGAGACACGGUCCAGACUCCUACGGGAGGCAGCAGUGAGGAAUAUUGGGCAAUGCUCGAAAGAGUGACCCAGCAACGCCGCGUGGAGGAUGAAGGUAUUCUAUAUCGUAAACUCCUGUGAGAGCAGACGAAAGACAGAUUAUUAAUCUGGAUGACUGUAUGCUCAGAGGAAGCCCCGGCUAACUACGUG
rnacentral:rRNA from 1 species